UACAGAGGGUGCGAGCGUUAAUCGGAAUUACUGGGCGUAAAGCGCACGUAGGCGGCUUGGUAUGUCGGGUGUGAAAUCCCCGGGCUCAACCUGGGAACUGCAUCCGAAACUGCCUUGCUCGAGUAUGGGAGAGGGAAGUGGACUUUCCGGUGUAGCGGUGAAAUGCGUAGAUAUCUGGAGGAAUACCGGUGGCGAAGGCGGCAUCCUGGACCGGCAUUGACGCUGAUGAGCGAAAGCCAGGGGAGCAAACGGG
rnacentral:rRNA from 1 species